rnacentral:snRNA from 1 species
GUGCUCACUUUGGCGGCACAUAUACUAAAAUUGGAAUGACAGAGAUUAGCACGGCCCCUGCACAAGAAUGACACACAAACUUGUGAAGUGUUCCAUAUUUUU